rnacentral:rRNA from 1 species
UACGUAGGGGGCGAGCGUUGUCCGGAUUUAUUGGGCGUAAAGAGCUCGUAGGCGGUUUGGCAAGUCGGAUGUGAAAACUCGGAGCUCAACUCCGAGCCUGCGUUCGAGACUGGAUGGCUAGAGUCUGGUAGGGGGAUCUGGAAUUCCACGUGUAGCGGUGAAAUGCGUAGAGAUGUGGAGGAACACCGAUGGCGAAGGCAGCCUUCUGGGCCAAUACUGACGCUCAUGCACGAAAGCGUGGGGAGCAAACAGG